UCACCUCAUAGAACUGUGUGCGCAUUAAAUGAGAAAGGCUCAUGCUAAGACCAAGAUGGGCCAGUGACUGUAUCCCCAGCACUGAGCCAAGUGCCUGGAGCCCUGGGCCCCAGCAGCACCCAGCAAUGGAAAAACAUCCUCAGGCUUCAGCUGUGUUUCAUCUCCAGGCCCAGAGAAGCAGCAAAAUCAGACAGAGGGACGCCAUGGCUGACGUCAGGACGAGCUGUAGUGCUUAAUGACCCCCUGACCUAGCAUCGACCAGUCAAGAGGAGACCAUGACCCUGAAAGGACACACCUGGAAAGCUGAUAAAGAUUCCACUGGGAUCCCCCCCUGAGACCUCCAGAUAAACACGCUUAGGAUGGAGGACCCAGCUUCAUCUCUGGAGCACACCCUAACCUUUCCUUCCUCUUUCAUCUCUCUCUCUCUCUCUCUCUCUCUCUCUCUCUCCUAUAACUCAUUUCCUGAGCCCAUUUUCCCCCCUAUGGCUGUCUUCUUCUACUCCUGUGACUUCCUAA